AACGAACGCUGGCGGCAUGCCUAACACAUGCAAGUCGAACGAGACCUUCGGGUCUAGUGGCGCACGGGUGCGUAACGCGUGGGAACCUGCCCCUAGGUUCGGAAUAACUCCCCGAAAGGGGUGCUAAUACCGGAUAAUGUCUUCGGACCAAAGAUUUAUCGCCUUUGGAUGGGCCCGCGUUGGAUUAGCUAGUUGGUAGGGUAAAAGCCUACCAAGGCGACGAUCCAUAGCUGGUCUGAGAGGAUGAUCAGCCACACUGGGACUGAGACACGGCCCAGACUCCUACGGGAGGCAGCAGUGGGGAAUAUUGGAAAAUGGGCGAAAGCCUGAUCCAGCAAUGCCGCGUGAGUGAUGAAGGCCUUAGGGUUGUAAAGCUCUUUUACCCGGGAUGAUAAUGACAGUACCGGGAGAAUAAGCUCCGGCUAACUCCGUG
rnacentral:rRNA from 1 species